rnacentral:rRNA from 1 species
GGACCCGCACAAGCGGUGGAUUAUGUGGAUUAAUUCGAUGCAACGCGAAAAACCUUACCUACCCUUGACAUGUCCUGAAGCCCGGUGAGAGCUGGGUGUGCCCGAAAGGGAACGGGAACACAGGUGCUGCAUGGCUGUCGUCAGCUCGUGUCGUGAGAUGUUGGGUUAAGUCCCGCAACGAGCGCAACCCUUGUCAUUAGUUGCUACAUUCAGUUGGGCACUCUAAUGAGACUGCCGGUGACAAACCGGAGGAAGGUGGGGAUGACGUCAAGUCCUCAUGGCCCUUAUGGGUAGGGCUUCACACGUAAUACAAUGGCGCGUACAGAGGGCUGCUAAGCCGCGAGGUAGAGCCAAUCCCUUAAAGCGCGUCGUAGUCCGGAUUGCAGUCUGCAACUCGACUGCAUGAAGUCGGAAUCGCUAGUAAUCGCGGAUCAGCAUGUCGCGGUGAAUACGUUCCCGGGUCUU